rnacentral:sRNA from 1 species
UUAUAUCUCCUGCGAGGGAUAGUAGCGGUAGCUCCUAAUUGCUUUUUGCAAUUGGGACUUUAGCGAAUAGCCCGACCGCCU